UUUGGUUAAGUUAGAAAGGGCGCACGGUGGAUGCCUUGACACUAGGAGUCGAUGAAGGACGGGACUAACGCCGAUAUGCUUCGGGGAGCUGUAAGUAAGCUUUGAUCCGAAGAUUUCCGAAUGGGGAAACCCACCAUACGUAAUGGUAUGGUAUCCUUAUCUGAAUACAUAGGGUAAGGAAGACAGACCCAGGGAACUGAAACAUCUAAGUACCUGGAGGAAGAGAAAGCAAAUGCGAUUUCCUGAGUAGCGGCGAGCGAAACGGAACAUAGCCCAAACCAAGAGGCUUGCCUCUUGGGGUUGUAGGACAUUCUAUACGGAGUUACAAAGGAACGAGGUAGACGAAGCGACCUGGAAAGGUCCGUCGUAGAGGGUAACAACCCCGUAGUCGAAACUUCGUUCUCUCUUGAAUGUAUCCUGAGUACGGCGGAACACGUGAAAUUCCGUCGGAAUCUGGGAGGACCAUCUCCCAAGGCUAAAUACUCCCUAGUGAUCGAUAGUGAACCAGUACCGUGAGGGAAAGGUGAAAAGCACCCCGGAAGGGGAGUGAAAGAGAUCCUGAAACCGUGUGCCUACAAAUAGUCAGAGCCCGUUAACGGGUGAUGGCGUGCCUUUUGUAGAAUGAACCGGCGAGUUACGAUCCCGUGCGAGGUUAAGCUGAAGAGGCGGAGCCGCAGCGAAAGCGAGUCUGAAUAGGGCGUUUAGUACGUGGUCGUAGACCCGAAACCAGGUGAUCUACCCAUGUCCAGGGUGAAGUUCAGGUAACACUGAAUGGAGGCCCGAACCCACGCACGUUGAAAAGUGCGGGGAUGAGGUGUGGGUAGCGGAGAAAUUCCAAUCGAACCUGGAGAUAGCUGGUUCUCCCCGAAAUAGCUUUAGGGCUAGCCUUAAGUGUAAGAGUCUUGGAGGUAGAGCACUGAUUGGACUAGGGGUCCUCAUCGGAUUACCGAAUUCAGUCAAACUCCGAAUGCCAAUGACUUAUCCUUAGGAGUCAGACUGCGAGUGAUAAGAUCCGUAGUCAAAAGGGAAACAGCCCAGACCGCCAGCUAAGGUCCCAAAGUGUGUAUUAAGUGGAAAAGGAUGUGGAGUUGCUUAGACAACUAGGAUGUUGGCUUAGAAGCAGCCAUCAUUUAAAGAGUGCGUAAUAGCUCACUAGUCGAGUGACUCUGCGCCGAAAAUGUACCGGGGCUAAAUACACCACCGAAGCUGCGGAUUGAUACCGAAUGGUAUCAGUGGUAGGGGAGCGUUCUAAGGACAGUGAAGUCAGACCGGAAGGACUGGUGGAGUGCUUAGAAGUGAGAAUGCCGGUAUGAGUAGCGAAAGACGGGUGAGAAUCCCGUCCACCGAAUGCCUAAGGUUUCCUGAGGAAGGCUCGUCCGCUCAGGGUUAGUCAGGACCUAAGCCGAGGCCGACAGGCGUAGGCGAUGGACAACAGGUUGAUAUUCCUGUACCACCUCUUUAUCGUUUGAGCAAUGGAGGGACGCAGAAGGAUAGAAGAAGCGUGCGAUUGGUUGUGCACGUCCAAGCAGUUAGGCUGAUAAGUAGGCAAAUCCGCUUAUCGUAAAGGCUGAGCUGUGAUGGGGAAGCUCCUUAUGGAGCGAAGUCUUUGAUUCCCCGCUGCCAAGAAAAGCUUCUAGCGAGAUAAAAGGUGCCUGUACCGCAAACCGACACAGGUAGGCGAGGAGAGAAUCCUAAGGUGUGCGAGAGAACUCUGGUUAAGGAACUCGGCAAAAUGACCCCGUAACUUCGGGAGAAGGGGUGCUUUCUUAACGGAAAGCCGCAGUGAAUAGGCCCAAGCGACUGUUUAGCAAAAACACAGCUCUCUGCGAAGCCGUAAGGCGAAGUAUAGGGGGUGACACCUGCCCGGUGCUGGAAGGUUAAGGAGAGGGGUUAGCGUAAGCGAAGCUCUGAACUGAAGCCCCAGUAAACGGCGGCCGUAACUAUAACGGUCCUAAGGUAGCGAAAUUCCUUGUCGGGUAAGUUCCGACCCGCACGAAAGGUGUAACGAUUUGGGCACUGUCUCAACCAGAGACUCGGUGAAAUUAUAGUACCUGUGAAGAUGCAGGUUACCCGCGACAGGACGGAAAGACCCCGUGGAGCUUUACUGUAGCCUGAUAUUGAAUUUUGGUACAGUUUGUACAGGAUAGGCGGGAGCCUUUGAAACCGGAGCGCUAGCUUCGGUGGAGGCGCUGGUGGGAUACCGCCCUGACUGUAUUGAAAUUCUAACCUACGGGUCUUAUCGACCCGGGAGACAGUGUCAGGUGGGCAGUUUGACUGGGGCGGUCGCCUCCUAAAGUGUAACGGAGGCGCCCAAAGGUUCCCUCAGAAUGGUUGGAAAUCAUUCGUAGAGUGCAAAGGCAUAAGGGAGCUUGACUGCGAGACCUACAAGUCGAGCAGGGACGAAAGUCGGGCUUAGUGAUCCGGUGGUUCCGCAUGGAAGGGCCAUCGCUCAACGGAUAAAAGCUACCCCGGGGAUAACAGGCUUAUCUCCCCCAAGAGUCCACAUCGACGGGGAGGUUUGGCACCUCGAUGUCGGCUCAUCGCAUCCUGGGGCUGUAGUCGGUCCCAAGGGUUGGGCUGUUCGCCCAUUAAAGCGGUACGCGAGCUGGGUUCAGAACGUCGUGAGACAGUUCGGUCCCUAUCCGUCGUGGGCGUAGGAAAUUUGAGAGGAGCUGUCCUUAGUACGAGAGGACCGGGAUGGACGCACCGCUGGUGUACCAGUUGUUCUGCCAAGGGCAUAGCUGGGUAGCUAUGUGCGGAAGGGAUAAGUGCUGAAAGCAUCUAAGCAUGAAGCCCCCCUCAAGAUGAGAUUUCCCAUAGCGUAAGCUAGUAAGAUCCCUGAAAGAUGAUCAGGUUGAUAGGUUCGAGGUGGAAGCAUGGUGACAUGUGGAGCUGACGAAUACUAAUAGAUCGAGGACUUAACCAUAUAA
rnacentral:rRNA from 1 species